UCUACGGGACGCAGCAGUAGGGAAUCUUGCGCAAUGGGCGAAAGCCUGACGCAGCCAUGCCGCGUGAAUGAUGAAGGUCUUAGGAUUGUAAAAUUCUUUCACCGGGGAAGAUAAUGACGGUACCCGGAGAAGAAGCCCCGGCUAACUUCGUGCCAGCAGCCGCGGUAAUA
rnacentral:rRNA from 1 species